rnacentral:tRNA from 1 species
GGGCGAUUGACAGAGUGGUUAUGUAGAGGACUGCAAAUCCUUUUAGGCUGGUUCAAUUCCAGCGUCGCCCUCCA